rnacentral:lncRNA from 1 species
CUCGUAAAUCACAUAGGACUUCUUCUUUUCUAUCAAAGUCGAUAUAUUCCAUCUAGAUGCAUCCUGCUUCAAAUAGCAAAUCUGAACUUACUGUAGCCAACAUACACAGUAAGAACCCAAAUGGCUAGGGACCAAAGAAAUGUGAAGUCAAACUCAGUAGCCUUGCUGCAAAUAGCCAAUGACACCACAGGUUAAAGGACCACUCAUACCACUAC